UACAGAGGUCUCAAGCGUUGUUCGGAUUCAUUGGGCGUAAAGCGCGCGCAGGCGGUCUGAAAAGUCUAUGGGUGAAAUGCCGGGGCUCAACCCCGUGCAUGCCCAGGAUACUGUCAGACUGGAGACACGUAGAGGCAAGCGGAAUUCCGGGUGUAGCGGUGGAAUGCGUAGAGAUCCGGAAGAACACCGGAGGCGAAGGCGGCUGCUGGGCGUGAUCUGACGCUGAGGCGCGAAAGCGUGGGAGCGAACGAGGAU
rnacentral:rRNA from 1 species